GACGAACGCUGGCGGCGUGCUUAACACAUGCAAGUCGAACGGAAAGGCCCUGCUUUUGUGGGGUGCUCGAGUGGCGAACGGGUGAGUAACACGUGAGUAACCUGCCCUUGACUUUGGGAUAACUUCAGGAAACUGGGGCUAAUACCGGAUAGGAGCUCCUGCUGCAUGGUGGGGGUUGGAAAGUUUCGGCGGUUGGGGAUGGACUCGCGGCUUAUCAGCUUGUUGGUGAGGUAGUGGCUUACCAAGGCUUUGACGGGUAGCCGGCCUGAGAGGGUGACCGGCCACAUUGGGACUGAGAGACGGCCCAGACGCCUACGGGAGGCAGCAGUGGGGAAUAUUGCACAAUGGGCGGAAGCCUGAUGCAGCAACGCCGCGUGCGGGAUGACGGCCUUCGGGGUGUAAACCGCUGUCGCCUGUGACGAAGAGUGAGUGACGGUAAUGGGUAAAGAAGCACCGGCUAACUACGUG
rnacentral:rRNA from 1 species